rnacentral:rRNA from 1 species
CGGCACGGGUGAGUAACACGUAUCCAACCUGCCGUCUACUCUUGGACAGCCUUCUGAAAGGAAGAUUAAUACAAGAUGGCAUCAUGAGUUCACAUGUUCACAUGAUUAAAGGUAUUCCGGUAGACGAUGGGGAUGCGUUCUAUUAGAUAGUAGGCGGGGUAACGGCCCACCUAGUCUUCGAUGGAUAGGGGUUCUGAGAGGAAGGUCCCCCACAUUGGAACUGAGACACGGUCCAA